rnacentral:rRNA from 1 species
ACCCUCGGGUGACAGGGAGACAGGUGGUGCAUGGUUGUCGUCAGCUCGUGUCGUGAGAUGUUGGGUUAAGUCCCGCAACGAGCGCAACCCCUACGUUUAGUUGCUAACGCGUGAAGGCGUAGCACUCUAGCGAACUGCCGUUGACAAACGGAGGAAGGUGGGAUGACGUCAAAUCAUCAUGCCCCUUAUGACCUGGGCUACACACGUGCUACAAUGGUUGGUACAACGAGUUGCGAGUCGGUGACGGCGAGCUAAUCUCUUAAAGCCAAUCUCAGUUCGGAUUGUAGGCUGCAACUCGCCUACAUGAAGUCGGAAUCGCUAGUAAUCGCGGAUCAGCACGCCGCGGUGAAUACGUUCCCGGGCCUU